rnacentral:misc_RNA from 4 species
AACGCACAUUGCGCCCGCCAGUAUUCUGGCGGGCAUGCCUGUCUGAGCGUCAUUUCAACCCUCAAGCAACUUCUGCUUGGUGUUGGGGAUCGGCCGUCAAACGCCGCCCCCGAAAUCUAUUGGCGAUCUCGCUGUAGCUUCCUAUGCGUAGUAGUAACAUCUCGCAUCUGGAGAGCGGCGCGGUCAUGCCGUAAAACACCCAACUUUUCAGGUUGACCUCAGAUCAGGUAGGAAUACCCGCUGAACUUAA